GCCUCGGUGGCGGAUGGUCCGCGUCUGCACCAAUUCGGUAAGAAAGAAGCGAAUAUUGCGCAGAAGUAGCUCGUUCAAUUCGAGCCCGAGGCA